GGUGGGGCAGAGGAGAGCCCAGGCAGCGUGAGUCAGGCUGGCCCUGCGGUCCCAAGUUCAGCUCCAGCUAAAUUACUAGGUCUGACCCGGCGAAGAAGCCAGUCAUAUAAAGGCACCUGGUGUCGGCCGCUCCCCAGUCCCAGCCGGUGGAUGCCCCACGAUGAGGCCACUCCUGGUGUUUCUGUUUCUGGCCGCUCUGUGCACUGACCUGGCCCGGGCCCUUCACUGUCACGUGUGCUGUGGCCACAAGGACUGCGAGUCUCUGGUGGAGUGCGCCCCAACUGACAAGUACUGUGUGAUCACGCAGGCCACAAACCCUGGUGGCAUCCUGGUCAUGAAGUCCUGCUCCCCGGUGUGCCCCAACAGCACAAUGUCCUCGGACGGCCGCACCCUCUCUGUCUCCUGCUGCCAAGGCAGCCAGUGCAACCGCAACGCGGCCGCGGGCCUGGCGGGCAGCCGCGGGGCUCUGUGGCUCAGUGCCUCCGUCAGCCUGCUGUGGGCGCUGCUCCGGGCGGCCUGCUGAGCCCACGCUCCACGGGCGGGCCCGGCUCUCACCCGGCCCUCACCCGGCCCCUCGCAGGCCGUCGCCAGCCUGCCCCGCUCCCCGCACUCGGCCACCCACGCAGGCGGGAAGAGUCCCUGUCUCUCCUGUGCUCCUCCCUGCUUCCCCCGGGGCCGCCCGGCCCCCUCCUCGGGCUCCCACCCCGGGGCGGGAAGCCCCCCUACCUCAGGGAACCCGCCUCUGAGGGACCCUCGGCCCUCUCCCGGGGUCCCGGCCACCCGGUCCUCCCCGACACCCUCCACCCCAUUGCGGGGCUUCCCACGGGGGCUCCUCCCACUCUGGCCUCGAGUGCCCGGAUCCACCACGCACGGGGCAGGCGGGUCAGAGGUCUGGGCGUCCCCUGCACCAGCCGCGCCUGUGCUCCCCUGCGCACCGACCCGCCACUCCUUCCACGGCUCGCUCACACCUCAGGGGCGAAUUCACUCCGCACAAGCACCCACCCCCGGGCCUCCUGGGAGCCAGGCACCCCGAGAGAGCCCACAGGGCCACCCCAGGUCAGCACAUGGGAUGAGGGCUUCCGGGAGGCCGCCUCGCCCCCACCCCCAGUCCCUGCCAGCGAAGGCAGGCCUGUUCAUGGUCCCCUGGCUGUCGCUGUGGGGGCGGAAUCCGUGUGGGGCCUGUGUUCUCACUGGGCAGGGGGGCUGGCCCGCCCCCCACCAGAGGCGCCCACGGCAAGGCCUCCUCCUAGGAGCUCGUGGAGGAGAAUAAAGCUGGACAUCCUGUCCCCAUUGUCUGAGAUGUUGAAAUUUUGGGGGGGGUCCCCCGUACCUCGGGGCCAGGCAGGGGCACUUUACGGAGGGCGGCGGCAUUUUCCAGGCAUAAACUCAGAGAGCAGGAGGCACUCUCUUCGGAAUCCAAAAAGCCAGCACCCCUUCCCAGCCCUCAGCCUGGGGGCUCCCGUGGGGUUCCCCAGCAUCUGUGGUCGGCCCUGCGGUGUGCCCCACAACUCCUACCGCCCUGCACCCCCAGUCAGGGCCCAGCCGGGCACCCGGGGCUCUUCUUGGGGGGCAAGGGGCCAGAGGCUCCAGCUCUCCUCCCUCACCUCUGCCCGGGGCCUCUCCCCAGGACCGCAUGCAGGUCCCCGGCCCACAGCUCUCUCGGGGCCUCCCUGCUCCUAGCCCUGGGGCCCUGCCCCGGCCCACCUGCCUCCUCCCCUCGCAGGCCCUGGUAAUUUCCCUCCCCCGACAUCGCUGUCCCUCACAUCCCUUCCGGGGGCCCCAGAGGCCAACGUCCUGCCUGCCUGGCAGAGCGCGGCUCCCACAGCCCGAGUGCCAAGGUGACGGGACGCCAUGAUGGCCGGGACCUUCCCUGGUGGGGCCCGGGCCUCGAUUCUGGGAACCAAGGGACAGAUUGCAGCCAGGACGGCCGGUCUCCCACUGCCUUCCUCUCAGCCUCCACCUCCGCAACUCGGCCGGACACUAGUGUCCCCGGAGUUCCCAGAGUACCCAAAAGGGACAAAGGUCCUCCCGUUCCCAGCAGCCACCUCUCUGGCCUCACAGGGCCACCACCCCCCACCCAGUGCCUGCAAGCCCGGCCUGCUGUCUGUCCCCCGUGCCUGUGACGCUGCCGUGGCCGCCAUUCUACCCGGGGGUGCUCCUGAAGCGUGUGGGGAAGGGGGGCAGGGGCAGGGACUUGUGUUCUCGCAGGCUUUCUGUGGUUCUGUCCACACCCUGGAGGACAAGGUGGGCUGAGGGGGCCCUGCCUCCAAACACGGAUGUCAGGAUUCCCUUGGGGCCCCUCUGAGUCACUAGUACAGUUCCCUUCGUGGCCAGGCCUGCUGGGCUCCGGGGACCCAGGAGCAGGUUGGCACAAAGUCCACGUGAAGCAGCCUUCUCGGGAACAAACUUGGGGCUCAGGGUCGGGCCACCCCACCCAGCCUUUGAAGUUUGGGGUUUCUUUCUCAAAGAGAGCGGAAAUUCCCUCUCUUGACUCCUGUCCGACCAGCUUCCCCGCUAAGGCAGGCCCUACUUGUGCAAGUCCCAAGGGAAAGCCGCAUUGGGUGCCACGUGAUGACCGGUGGUCUCCUGCGAGACUUCGACAUUCAGAAGUCGAGGUGCGGCCAAGAGACAUUUCCAAUGAGGACAUUAAUUGCCCUUGCUACAGAUGAGGACGCUGGGG
ensembl:lncRNA